rnacentral:rRNA from 1 species
GACGAACGCUGGCGGCGUGCCUAAUACAUGCAAGUUGAGCGCUGAAGGUUGGUCCUUGUACCAACUGGAUGAGCAGCGAACGGGUGAGUAACGCGUGGGGAAUCUGCCUUUGAGCGGGGGACAACAUUUGGAAACGAAUGCUAAUACCGCAUAAAAACUUUAAACACAAGUUUUAAGUUUGAAAGAUGCAAUUGCAUCACUCAAAGAUGAUCCCGCGUUGUAUUAGCUAGUUGGUGAGGUAAGGGCUCACCAAGGCGAUGAUACAUAGCCGACCUGAGAGGGUGAGCGGCCACAUUGGGACUGAGACACGGCCCAAACUCCUACGGGAGGCAGCAGUAGGGAAUCUUCGGCAAUGGACGAAAGUCUGACCGAGCAACGCCGCGUGAGUGAAGAAGGUUGUCGGAUCGUAAAACUCUGUUGGUAGAGAAGAACGUUGGUGAGAGUGGAAAGCUCAUCAAGUGACGGUAACUACCCAGAAAGGGACGGCUAACUACGUG